rnacentral:rRNA from 1 species
UAUGUGAUCGUCUCUCGCAUAUCAAUAAGCGGAGGAAAAGAAACUAACAAGGAUUCCCCUAGUAACGACGAGUGAAGCGGGAAGAGCUCAAAUUUGAAAGUCUUAAAGGGUUUCCCUUUACGAAUUGUAGUUUAAAGAAGUGUUUUCUGUUGAGGUUUUGGUAAAAGUUCUUUGGAAUAGGACAUCAUAGAGGGUGAGAAUCCCGUAUUUGACCUUUACUUUCAACUUUGUGAUACACUUUCAAAGAGUCGGAUUGUUUGGGAAUGCAGUCCAAAAUGGGUGGUAAAUUUCAUCUAAAGCUAAAUAUUGGCGAGAGACCGAUAGCGAACAAGUACCGUGAGGGAAAGAUGAAAAGAACUUUGAAAAGAGAGUUAAACAGUACGUGAAAUUGUCAAAAGGGAAGCGUUUGACACCAGUGUUGUUUUUCUGAAAAUCAAUUAAAGAACUGUUUAUGCUAAGUUGUUUAGACUUUAUCAGCUAUCUGUUAGUUUUGAGCUUUUCUUUAAUGCACUUUUCAGUUAACAAGUCAACAUCAAUUUCUUUUGCUGUAAAAAAGCUUGAGGAAGGUGGCUUGAGAUUCGUCUUAAGUGUUUAUAGCCUCUUGCCUAUGCAGUCGGAGAGAUUGAGGUCUGCAGCGUAGGAUCCUUCGGGGCUAAAUGCAUUUGUGCUAAGUUAUAGCAUUUUAUAGACAACUUGUUGACUAUGAUUUGUCUUGUAGCUUACUCGCUUAUGUUAUUUUACCUACGCUUAGGAUGUUGAUCUACAGAGCGAGAG